rnacentral:lncRNA from 1 species
AGCUGUGCUGCUACACUGUUUAAAGAAUACCAGUCAAAGAUUGUUUUAAUGGAUGCAGGACCCUGGUGUAUCAUGGUGUCUACUAUAAGUAGACACAGAUUUAGGAAGGCCAGCAAGUAAAAGUUACUUUCAUCUUAUACAAGCAUAGCUGGUUAGUGAUUAUAUGUUAGUAUUCCCACAACUUUUCUUAUAAAUUCUAUGUUGUGAGUUGGGGAAACUGCAUUGUCAUAACUAGUCUUUUUUUUUUUCCCCCCCAGUAUUUUACCGGGAUUGUCAAGUGCAGAUACAUAUCUAAAAUUGAAAGUUCCACAUGUUCUUAAAAUUACAUUUAGUUAUUUAUUGCUUAUGUAGGUGUAUGGGCAAGCAUCAUUUUGUUCCUCUUUAGGGGAUUAUAAGGACUAGAAUUCCAGUAAACUUAGCUCUCCAAUAAUGCGUAACAAGCUAACCCUUUUAUGUCCCUAAUCCAGGGUUUAGGAGGUGGAGGCAGAAGGGUCUCAAGAGUUAAGGGCAGUCUCUGCUAAACACUUGAGUUCCAGGCUCUCCUGGGUUACAGAGUGAAAUAGCACACAGUGGUAGACCAUUUUUAGCACAAGGCCCCAGAUUUUGCUACCCACAAAGAAUACACAUGCUAAAGUAUGUUUUUCCUAAAUUUUAAUUGUGUUUUAGGGCAGAUUAAAGGCAUAAAAAAUUAGUUUGAUUAAAAAAAGAUAGAUGGGAUAAUUAAAGUGACCUUAGUUUGUGGAUGAUAUUCUAUAUGUAGACCCUAAAAGCCUCACCAGAGAACUCCCCCUUUUUAUGUACCACCUAACAAACAUGGGCAGGGAGGAAAUCUGGAAAAAGUCUUCAUAGUCAUCUCAGACAACAGAGGCUGGAGAGGCGAGCCAGUGGUUAUGUGUGCAUGCUGCUGCUUGCACCUUUCAGAGGUCAGUUUCCAGCAUCUGUAUCCAGAGGCUCUACAGCUGCAGUUAUCCCCAGGCCCAGUUGAGUCACGUGCUGCUGGCCUUCAGGCCUCCACUUCAUGGCACCUGCACUCACCCACAUCCUCUACCCCAGACAUGCAGAUAAUUAAAAGUGUUAAAAUGGGGGCCGUUGAGAGCAGCACUUGUUCUUGCACAGAGGAUCAGAGUUUGGUUCCUACCACUCACAUGGUGGCUCAUAACCAUCCAUUACUCCACUUCUCUCCAACUCCCCUUUCUGUCAUCCUUGGGCACCAAGCAAGCAUGUGGUACAUAUAUAUUACCUUCAGGCAAAGCACUCAUUUAUAUAAAAUUACUUCUUAAUAUAAAAAACCAAGGGUUAGGUAUGGUAGUGCAGGUCUUUAAUCUCAGUCCUUUGGAGUUAGAGGCAGGUGGACCAUCUAGGGCUACAUAAUAAGACCCUACCUUUAAUUCAGUUUUAUCCAUAUGAACUAUGUAUAACAUGAAGUAUGUGUAAUGCUCUGCAUUAUCAUAUGUGUGUGAGUUUUGCAUGUUCAUGUUCAAGUUCAGUAAGAAUUAGUUCAUAGCUUCCCUAGUUGAAAUUCUUUUAUUUGGUUAGUCGGUUUGGCAUACAUACUAUCAAAAUUAUUUCCUGAAAUGUGAUGAAAUAUUGUAUAAUUCUCCAUGAGUGAUGACCUAUGGAUUACUUUAAGUGGACAGAUAAGUGCAUUUUUUAUGGUAUACAUUAUAUUGUAUUUAUAGGAUGGCUAUAUCGUUAACAUCCAUUACUUUACAUAGGUAUUUCUACUCUUACAUCAAGACAUUGUAGAUACACAAUGUUAGUAAUUGUAAUCUCUAGUCUAAAUAUUGUUCUCCCUCAGAGAUUAUGUGUCGGCUCACUAGCUUCUUCCCAAUCUUACUCUACCAUAUUAGCUGAGAAUUAAUUGUUAAUAACUGGGAGCUGUCACAGGACCACUGUUUUACAUUUACUAUUCUGUCCUUGAGUCAGUUUUAUGACCGCCACGUCUAUUUACAGAUCAUCUUUGACUUCUUUUUCUAUAUGAGACCAUAUGGCAAAUGUAUAGCCCAUAAAGCCUAAAAUAUUCCCUGUUGUGACCCUGUACAGAAAAUAUGUUCUGUUAAAAUUAAAUAACCUUCAAGAGGUAGCUGUCAAGAAAUUGAGUGGAGUUUAAUGAAUAAGUAGGAGGAGGGUUCUUAGUGGAAUUUUGUUUCACAUUGCAUGUGUGUGGUGUGUAUGCAGUGUGCAGUGUAGAUCUCUUGUUUUGAGGCAGUCUGAUGUAGGCCAGGCUCUCGCCAUCUCUUGGGACAGGGGAUCCUGCUAGACUGUUCAGCUGGAGUCCCUUGUUUCUGCCUCCUGCAUUCAGAGUUAGAGCACUGGGCCUCAAACUGACAGUGUAAAUACUUCCCACUGCUCUAGUUUCUCUACCCCUUCACAUUUUUAUGUGCUGUUGGGAUUAAACUCUGUGCCUCCCAUGCCACCAGCCUUCUAGUGUUUAUAGAAUGAAAAUGUAGGUUAUAACCAAACAAACUCAACUGUUUUCCUAGGUUCUACAACUCUAAGAUUAGGUGAAUUUUGCCUCUACCUCCGAGUGCUGGGAUUAAAGGUGUAUGCCACCAACACUACGCAGGCUAUUAUCUUUUAACAAAAAAAUUUAAACUUUUGAUCUCAGCAGAAUACCCAACAUAGUUGGUUUCUUAAAAGCCUUUAGGAUGUUUAGACUUGAGAUGGGUGACCUAUCUUUUUGAUUUGGAAUAAUUAACCCAUGCCCUAUAAAAAAACUCCAAGCUAUUUGAGUUACAGCAGAAUUUUUAGAUUCAGUCUAUAUAAGGCAAAAUUUUCAUUAAAAGUUUUUAGAAUUUUUAGAAUUUAUAGAAUAUUUCCAGCUGUUUCUUAAUGGGAUUCCAGGCAUGUGCCACUCAGUCCAGCUUCAUGAGUGCUUUCUGAAUGCACUGUAAUGGAGAGCAAAAUUAAAGACAGGACCAUCCAUAUGUAUAUACACAUAACUUCAGUUUUUGCUUAAUACAACCAGAAAGAUUACACCCUGGUGACUAACUUGCUUUGUUCAUGUGUGUCAUGGUCUAUUUUUAGGUCAGUACAUGAGAGCCCUCUCAUUCUCUCAGUGGCUGAAUAUUCCACUGUAUGGUUGUACCUUGCACAACUAGUUUCCGUAUUGAUGGACAUACAUAUGGUUGUGUUUAGUUUUUGCUAACAUUAUAAUGGGUUAGAUAAAGCCUAUAAUGUAAGGAAACAGAUAGUGUAAGCUACUUG